rnacentral:lncRNA from 1 species
UGAUGUAUCACAUUAUUCAGGGCAUGCCUCUAAAUUUGCCAGAAAUCAUGAUGAAUCAAAUUAGAGAGGUAGUAGCUAAGAGCAAAGUCUGUUUACCCUCUAGAAUGGCCUUGACUAGAGUAUUUGAGUCGGCAGGAGUAUCUCUAGAAAAUGAGGCAUUCAAGAAGCUGUCACAUGUUGAUAUAUAUGACUAUAGAGCCCUACAUCGGAUGCAGUAU